UCCCGAGGUCUCAAGCGUUGUUCGGAUUCAUUGGGCGUAAAGGGCGCGUAGGCGGCCAGGCAAGUCGGGUGUGAAAGCUUGGGGCUUAACCCCGAAAGGGCACUCGAAACUGCGUUGCUAGAGGGCCGGAGAGGAGAUCGGAAUUCACGGUGUAGCAGUGAAAUGCGUAGAGCUCGUGAGGAAGACCGGUGGCGAAGGCGGAUCUCUGGACGGCCCCUGACGCUGAGGCGCGAAGGCUAGGGGAGCAAACAGG
rnacentral:rRNA from 1 species